AAAAAUCUCCGAUUACUACCCGUGUGAUACUUCUUUCCCAAAAACAGUCUUAUGGAAUACGAGUAGAGAUUGUUGUACAUGGGAUGGAUUACAACUUGAUUACAGAACAUUGGACACAAUACUUCAUAACUUCACAAAAACCUGUGAAUUUCCCAAAAACAGUCUUAUGGAAUGCGAGUAGAGAUUGCUGUACACUUUCUCUCCCUGAUGUCAACAUCUCAUCUCCGAUACCUAUGAAUUUGUCUUCCUCCUUAAGGUACGUGGAUCUUGAAUAUACUAAUAUACAAAUUAGGUAUUUGAAUUUCAC
rnacentral:lncRNA from 1 species